CGUAGGGUGCGAGCGUUAAUCGGAAUUACUGGGCGUAAAGCGUGCGCAGGCGGUUAUAUAAGGACAGAUGUGAAAUCCCCCGGCUCAACCUGGGACCUGCAUUUGUGACUGUAUAGCUAGAGUACGGUAGAGGGGGAUGGAAUUCCGCGUGUAGCAGUGAAAUGCGUAGAUAUGCGGAGGAACACCGAUGGCGAAGGCAAUCCCCUGGACCUGUACUGACGCUCAUGCACGAAAGCGUGGGGAGCAAACAGGAUUAGAUACCCUGGUAGUCCACGCCCUAAACGAUGUCAACUGGUUGUUGGGUCUUCACUGACUCAGUAACGAAGCUAACGCGUGAAGUUGACCGCCUGGGGAGUACGGCCGCAAGGUUG
rnacentral:rRNA from 1 species